GAGAUGUGGGUAGUCCGCACGAGCGCACCUCACUUUUAGUUGCCAUCAUUAAGUUGGGCACUCUGAAAGAACUGCCAGUGAUAAGCUGGAGGAAGGUGGGGAUGACGUCAAGUCCUCAUGGCCCUUACGUGUUGGGCUACACACGUGCUACAAUGGUAUCUACAACAGGAAGCAAGACUGCGAGGUCAAGCAAAUCCCUAAAAGAUACCUCAGUUCGGAUUGCACUCUGCAACUCGAGUGCAUGAAGCUGGAAUUACUAGUAAUCGUGGAUCAGCGUGCCACGGUGAAUGCGUUCCCGGGUCUUGUACACACCGCCCGUCACACCAUGGGAGUUGGUUCUACCUUAAGGCAAGGUUUUAAACCCUUGACCACGGUAUAGUCAGCGACUGGGGUGAAGUCGUAACAAGGUAGCCGUAGGGGAACCUGCGGCUGGAUUACCUCCUUUCU
rnacentral:rRNA from 1 species